rnacentral:tRNA from 1 species
UCCCUGAUGGUCCAGUGGGUAAGAUUCUGCGCUCCACAAUGCAGAGGGCCCAGGUUCGAUCCCUGGUCAGGGAA